GGGGUUGUGGCUCAAUGGUAGAGCACUCGCCUAGCAUGUGCAAGGCCCUGAGUUCAAUCCCCAGCACCACUU
rnacentral:tRNA from 1 species